rnacentral:rRNA from 1 species
UACGGAAGGCAGCAGUGGGGAAUAUUGCACAAUGGGCGCAAGCCUGAUGCAGCCAUGCCGCGUGUAUGAAGAAGGCCUUCGGGUUGUAAAGUACUUUCAGUCGUGAGGAAGGUGUUAAGGUUAAUAACCUUAGCAAUUGACGUUAGCGACAGAAGAAGCACCGGCUAACUCCGUGCCAGCAGCCGCGGUAAUACGGAGGGUGCGAGCGUUAAUCGGAAUUACUGGGCGUAAAGGGCACGCAGGCGGUUAAUUAAGUUGGAUGUGAAAUCCCCGGGCUUAACCUGGGAAUGGCAUUCAAGACUGGUUAGCUAGAGUCUUGUAGAGGGGGUAGAAUUCCAUGUGUAGCGGUGAAAUGCGUAGAGAUGUGGAGGAAUACCGGUGGCGAAGGCGGCCCCUGGACAAAGACUGACGCUCAUGUGCGAAAGCGUGGGGUAGCAAAC